UGCAGACAGACUUGUUUCAUGCCUUGCAAACAAGGUUGCCAAGACCUUUGAUUUCAGCUUGACAGGAGCAUCAUCUAGAUCUUGUAAAUAUGUUCUCAACACCCUCAUGCAGACAUUUCAAAACAAGAGACUGGCUUAUGCUGUCAAGGAAAGCACUCUUGAUAGUCUAACUAGUUGUUGUUCUCAUCAAUCUCUUACGUCCAUUAGAUCCUUCAAGGUGGCCCUCACCUGCAUCAAAUGAGACAUUUGCUGUCAGAAAUCAGAAGUUCUCUGAUCUGGUUGUUAAAUGUUUGAUAAAACUUACAAAGGUUCUUCAAAGCACUAUUUAUGAAGUUGACCUUGACCGCAUCCUUCAAAGCAUCCAUUUGUAUCUGCAAGACUUGGGGAUGGAAGAAAUUAGAAAACGGUAUG